rnacentral:rRNA from 1 species
AUUGAACGCUGGCGGCAUGCUUUACACAUGCAAGUCGAACGGUAACAGGCCGCAAGGUGCUGACGAGUGGCGAACGGGUGAGUAAUGCAUCGGAACGUGCUCAGUCGUGGGGGAUAACGCAGCGAAAGCUGCGCUAAUACCGCAUACGAUCUAUGGAUGAAAGCGGGGGACCGUAAGGCCUCGCGCAAUUGGAGCUGCCGAUGUCAGAUUAGGUAGUUGGUGGGGUAAAGGCUCACCAAGCCAACGAUCUGUAGCUGGUCUGAGAGGACGACCAGCCACACUGGGACUGAGACACGGCCCAGACUCCUACGGGAGGCAGCAGUGGGGAAUUUUGGACAAUGGGCGCAAGCCUGAUCCAGCAAUGCCGCGUGCAGGAAGAAGGCCUUCGGGUUGUAAACUGCUUUUGUACGGAACGAAACGGCUCUGGUCAAUACCUGGGGCUAAUGACGGUACCGUAAGAAUAAGCACCGGCUAACUACGUGCCAGCCGCCGCCGUAAUAC